GUUCCACUCUAGCAGCACGUAAAUAUUGGCGUAGUGAAAUAAAUAUUAAACACCAAUAUUAUUGUGCUGCUUUAGUGUGAC
rnacentral:pre_miRNA from 7 species